rnacentral:rRNA from 1 species
UAAAGCGCACGUAGGCGGUUUGACAAGUGGGAUGUGAAAGCCCUGGGCUCAACCUGGGAACUGCAUCCCAAACUGUCAGGCUAGAGUAUGGUAGAGGGGGGCGGAAUUCCCGGUGUAGCGGUGAAAUGCGUAGAGAUCGGGAGGAACAUCAGUGGCGAAGGCGGCCCCCUGGACUGAUACUGACGCUGAGGUGCGAAAGCGUGGGGAUCAAACAGGAUUAGAUACCCUGGUAGUCCACGCUGUAAACGAUGAGAACUGGCCGUCGGGCCCUUCGGGGUUUGGUGGCGUAGCUAACGCGCUAAGUUCUCCGCCUGGGGAGUACGGCCGCAAGGCUAAAACUCAAAUGAAUUGACGGGGGCCCGCACAAGCGGUGGAGCAUGUGGUUUAAUUCGAUGCAACGCGAAGAACCUUACCUGCCCUUGACAUCCUCGGAACUUGUCAGAGAUGACUUGGUGCCUUCGGGAACCGAGAGACAGGUGCUGCAUGGCUGUCGUCAGCUCGUGUCGUGAGAUGUU